rnacentral:misc_RNA from 1 species
GAUGAAGAACGUAGCGAAAUGCGAUAAGUAAUGUGAAUUGCAGAAUUCAGUGAAUCAUCGAAUCUUUGAACGCACAUUGCGCCCGCCAGUAUUCUGGCGGGCAUACCUGUUCGAGCGUCAUUUCAACCAUCAAGCCCUGCUUGCGUUGGGGUCCUGCGGCUGCCCGCAGGCCCUGAAAACCAGUGGCGGGCUCGCUAGUCACACCGAGCGCAGUAAUACAUCUCGCUUUGGGCGUGCGGCGGGUUCUUGCCGUUAAACACCCCCUUUUUACCAAGGUUGACCUCGGAUCAGGUAGGAAUACCCGCUGAACUUAAGCAUAUCAAUAAGCGGAGGA